rnacentral:rRNA from 1 species
AGUGAACGCUGGCGGUAGGCCUAACACAUGCAAGUCGAACGGCAGCACAGUAAGAGCUUGCUCUUACGGGUGGCGAGUGGCGGACGGGUGAGGAAUACAUCGGAAUCUACUUUUUCGUGGGGGAUAACGUAGGGAAACUUACGCUAAUACCGCAUACGACCUACGGGUGAAAGCAGGGGAUCUUCGGACCUUGCGCGAUUGAAUGAGCCGAUGUCGGAUUAGCUAGUUGGCGGGGUAAAGGCCCACCAAGGCAACGAUCCGUAGCUGGUCUGAGAGGAUGAUCAGCCACACUGGAACUGAGACACGGUCCAGACUCCUACGGGAGGCAGCAGUGGGGAAUAUUGGACAAUGGGCGCAAGCCUGAUCCAGCCAUACCGCGUGGGUGAAGAAGGCCUUCGGGUUGUAAAGCCCUUUUGUUGGGAAAGAAAAGCAGCAGGUUAAUACCCCGCUGUCCUGACGGUACCCAAAGAAUAAGCACCGGCUAACUUCGUG